rnacentral:tRNA from 1 species
GGGUCGUUAGCUCAGGGGGAGAGCACUACCUUGACACGGUAGGGGCCAGUGGUUCAAAUCCACUACGACCCA